rnacentral:rRNA from 2 species
UUCCCCAAUGGACGAAAGUCUGAUGGAGCAACCCCGCGUGAGUGAAGAAGGUUUUCGGAUCGUAAAACUCUGUUGUUGGAGAAGAAUGUAUCUGAUAGUAACUGAUCAGGUAGUGACGGUAUCCAACCAGAAAGCCACGGCUAACUACGUGCCAGCAGCCGCGGUAAUACGUAGGUGGCAAGCGUUGUCCGGAUUUAUUGGGCGUAAAGCGAGCGCAGGCGGUUUCUUAAGUCUGAUGUGAAAGCCUUCGGCUCAACCGAAGAAGUGCAUCGGAAACUGGGAAACUUGAGUGCAGAAGAGGACAGUGGAACUCCAUGUGUAGCGGUGAAAUGCGUAGAUAUAUGGAAGAACACCAGUGGCGAAGGCGGCUGUCUGGUCUGUAACUGACGCUGAGGCUCGAAAGCAUGGGUAGCAAACAGGAUUAGAUACCCUGGUAGUCCAUGCCGUAAACGAUGAGUGCUAGGUGUUGGAGGGUUUCCGCCCUUCAGUGCCGCAGCUAACGCAUUAAGCACUCCGCCUGGGGAGUACGACCGCAAGGUUGAAACUCAAAGGAAUUGACGGGGGCCCGCACAAGCGGUGGAGCAUGUGGUUUAAUUCGAAGCAACGCGAAGAACCUUACCAGGUCUUGACAUCCUUUGACCACUCUAGAGAUAGAGCUUUCCCUUCGGGGACAAAGUGACAGGUGGUGCAUGGUUGUCGUCAGCUCGUGUCGUGAGAUGUUGGGUUAAGUCCCGCAACGAGCGCAACCCUUAUUACUAGUUGCCAGCAUUUAGUUGGGCACUCUAGUGAGACUGCCGGUGACAAACCGGAGGAAGGUGGGGACGACGUCAAAUCAUCAUGCCCCUUAUGACCUGGGCUACACACGUGCUACAAUGGAUGGUACAACGAGUUGCGAGACCGCGAGGUUUAGCUAAUCUCUUAAAACCAUUCUCAGUUCGGAUUGUAGGCUG